rnacentral:rRNA from 1 species
UACGUAGGGGGGCUAGCGUUGUCCGGAAUCAUUGGGCGUAAAGAGCGUGUAGGCGGCCCGGUAAGUCGGGUGUGAAAUCUCGGAGCUUAACUCCGAAAUUGCAUUCGAUACUGCCGUGCUCGAGGACUGGAGAGGAGACUGGAAUUCAUGGUGUAGCAGUGAAAUGCGUAGAGAUCAUGAGGAAGACCAGUGGCGAAGGCGGGUCUCUGGACAGUUCCUGACGCUGAGGCGCGAAGGCCAGGGGAGCAAACGGG